rnacentral:rRNA from 1 species
AACGAACGCUGGCGGCAUGCCUAACACAUGCAAGUCGAACGAGACCUUCGGGUCUAGUGGCGCACGGGUGCGUAACGCGUGGGAACCUGCCCUUAGGUUCGGAAUAACUCCCCGAAAGGGGUGCUAAUACCGGAUAAUGUCUUCGGACCAAAGAUUUAUCGCCUUUGGAUGGGCCCGCGUUGGAUUAGCUAGUUGGUAGGGUAAAAGCCUACCAAGGCGACGAUCCAUAGCUGGUCUGAGAGGAUGAUCAGCCACACUGGGACUGAGACACGGCCCAGACUCCUACGGGAGGCAGCAGUGGGGAAUAUUGGACAAUGGGCGAAAGCCUGAUCCAGCAAUGCCGCGUGAGUGAUGAAGGCCUUAGGGUUGUAAAGCUCUUUUACCCGGGAUGAUAAUGACAGUACCGGGAGAAUAAGCUCGGGCUAGCUCCGUG